AAACGACUCUCGGCAACGGAUAUCUUGGCUCACGCAUCGAUGAAGAACGUAGCAAAAUGCGAUACUUGGUGUGAAUUGCAGAAUCCCGUGAACCAUCGAGUUUUUGAACGCAAGUUGCGCCCGAAGCCUUUUGGCUGAGGGCACGUCUGCCUGGGCGUCACAC
rnacentral:rRNA from 2 species